GAUGCAUCUCCAACUUUCUGGCAAACAACUACUCUGUCUCGUGACUUUAUAACUCCAGAGGCCUUUCCAUGAUCGAGAGCUACCUUUAAGACCGACUCAUUUGUUGCAUUUGUAGAUUCCGCAGGAUGUCGUGGAUCAGCAAGCAUAGGGAAGAGACCUCUAACAAUGAGUGAUUGCCUUGCUUCAAAGGCCCCACUGAAGCUCCAUCUCAGUUGAUU
rnacentral:misc_RNA from 1 species